GGACACCUCGGGGGUUUCCUGCUUUAUGGCGAAGGACGGAGUUUUGCUCUUGUUGCCCAAGCUGGAGUGCAAUGGUGCGAUCUUCGCUUACUGCAACCUCUGCUUCCUGGGUUCAAGUGAUUCCCCUGCCUCAGCCUCCCGAGUAGCAGGGAUUACAGUCUUCAAAUAAGUGUUUACGUAGAAGCACCAUAUCUGAAACAGGUGACAGUGGACCAGUCUGAAUGAAAUGAGGGUUGGCAGGCCUGAGCUCCAAAACCUUCUGAUUGCCCAAGCCCUCCUUGUCUUGCUUGGAUUAUCUCCACACAAAUGGAGAAACUGGACAAGGUGGUCAUGGAGGUCCCUGAAAGCUCAAAGACUUUCUCAUUCCAGGAUUCCCCAUGUUCAUAUGCCAGCAUGGCAUGGGGGUGCUCUGUAGUCAAGCAGGGUCCUUUGGGGGGCUUAGGGAUGGAGCCAGGAAAUGGCUCUGGGACUCAGCGGGUGUCCAGAGUCUCAUCAGCAGGGUUUCUUUACUUUCACUGAGUGGCUGGUGCCUGCACACUGAGUUUUGCAGGCUUACUCUCACAGAGUGAGCUUCCUGCAGGCCCCCCACUGCAACCCCUUUCCUUCCUGGAGCUGUGUGCUGACUGGUGCGUGAGCACCCCAGGCCCUCUCCCCAUGCUGCUGAUGGUCAGCUUUCUCUGCACGCUCGUGGUUGCCACAGUCAACGCUGAUAAAAUUGCUGAUGCAGAUUGCCUGCCCAGCUGCGAGUGCUGGCACGGGACCAGCAGCCCAGACGGUCACUGGAAGUGGUUGGGCUGAUUAUUGGCAUCAUCUCCAUUGUCCUACUCGGUUCUUAAAGGCAUAUGGACUUGCCUCACUCCUACAGCAAAUGACGGCAUGGGCAAAGAGGGGCAACAGACCCACCCUGAAGACACUCCUCAUCUGGUUGACUUGGCAGGGUUAAGGGAAAAAGAUGUGAUGACUAGGAGCUGAGAGCUUAGUGGUUCUGCCAGAGCUGCAGAGUCUUUGUUGGCCUCAGGGUGGGACCUCUCACAUCUCUGUCAGCUUUUCACGGACACCAACCUGUUAUGAUUCAUUUCACCUGUCCUGAGCACUAGCAAGAAAAAUUCGCUGUAGCUUGUGAUGUAUUAUUCUGGAUUUCUCAACUCAUUCAUUUGUUCAUUCAUUCACUAUACCAUUACUGUCUAUUAUAAGGGGGGCACAAUGGUAGGUGCUGGGAAUAAAAACGAUGUUUAACGUUUCAUGAGGCUUCCCUGU
rnacentral:lncRNA from 1 species